rnacentral:snRNA from 1 species
ACAACUGUCAAUAAAUGCUG